AAAGAUGUAGAGAUAGCAAACUCCGUUCUCCCUAGGUUCUUGGCCAAAAUUUAUCACCUAAAAAAACCAGCCAAUCUAAUAAUUUCUCUUCAUCGUGCAAGUUGACUGGAACAUGACGACACUAUG